UUAGUUCCGCUUUAUAGCUGGUUCAAAGUGUAGUAUCUGUUCCUAUCAGCUUAACACUUCUUAGAUCCUCCAUCGAAAGACAACAAUUUUUGAAACAGAUUUUCGGAAAUAGCCGGAGUGUUUUAGGGGCUCGCUCCACCUCCAUAACGGGUUGGCUCAGUAUUUCAGUACCACCGGGAAUUUAAUUCAUUUCAA